UUUACCAGGGAUUUAUUACCUUGGUAUUCCACGCUGUAAAGGAUGUCGACUUGGAGGUUGUUCCCUUGAGGAGUGGCUUCGGGAGCUAACGCGUUAAGUCGACCCCCUGGGGAGUACGGCCCCAAGGUUAAAAUUCAAAUGAAUUGACGGGGGCCCGCCCAAGCGGUGGAGCAUGUGGUUUAAUUGGAUGCAACGGGAAGACCCUUACCUACUCUUGACAUCCAGAGAACUUAGCAGAGAUGCUUUGGUCCUUUCGGGAACUUUGAGCCAGGUCCGCCAGGGCGUUGUUCAGUUCGUGUUGUGAAAUGUUGGGUUAAUUCCCGCAAGGAGCCCAACCUUUUUCUUUUGUUCCCACCGGUUAGGCCGGGAACUCAAAGGAGACUGCCAGUGAUAAACCGGAGGAAGGUGGGGAUGACGUCAAGUCAUCAUGGCCCUUACGAGUAGGGCUACACACGUGCUACAAUGGCAUAUACAAAGAGAAGCGACCUCGCGAGAGCAAGCGGACCUCAUAAAGUAUGUCGUAGUCCGGAUUGGAGUCUGCAACUCGACUCCAUGAAGUCGGAAUCGCUAGUAAUCGUGGAUCAGAAUGCCACGGUGAAUACGUUCCCGGGCCUUGUACACACCGCCCGUCACACCAUGGGAGUGGGUUGCAAAAGAAGUAGGUAGUCUUAAC
rnacentral:rRNA from 1 species